UGGGGAAUUUUCCGCAAUGGGCGAAAGCCUGACGGAGCAAUGCCGCGUGGAGGUGGAAGGCCUAUGGGUCGUCAACUUCUUUUCUCGGAGAAGAAACAAUGACGGUAUCUGAGGAAUAAGCAUCGGCUAACUCUGUGCCCG
rnacentral:rRNA from 1 species